GUGGCUAUAGUUCAGUUGGUAGAGCGCCAGUUUGUGGCACUGGUUGUCGCGAGUUCAAGUCUCGUUAGCCACCCCA
rnacentral:tRNA from 2 species